rnacentral:rRNA from 1 species
GGUACUCAGUUCGGAUUGCAGGCUGCAACUCGCCUGUAUGAAGUCGGAAUUGCUAGUAAUCGCGGAUCAGCAUGCCGCGGUGAAUACGUUCCCGGGCCUUGUACACACCGCCCGUCACACCAUGAGAGCCGGGAACACCCGAAGUCCGUAGUCUAACCGCAAGGAGGACGCGGCCGAAGGUGGGUUUGGUAAUUGGGGUGAAGUCGUAACAAGGUAUC